GCUCCAAUAGCGUAUAUUUAAGUUGUUGCAGUUAAAAAGCUCGUAGUUGGACCUUGGGCCGGGUCGCCGGUCCGCCUCACGGCGAGCACCGACCUACUCGACUUCGGCCGGCAUCGCGCUCCUAGCCUUAAUUGGCCGGGUCGUGUUUCCGGCAUCGUUACUUUGAAGAAAUUAGAGUGCUCAAAGCAAGCCAUCGCUCU
rnacentral:rRNA from 1 species